CAUUUUUCUGAUCAUCUUCAGAUCAGCUAUUGCAGAAGAAAGGUCAGCCAAGCGCUCUGGGCCUGAUCGACUGUAUAUAGGAGCUUCUGAUUUCAACCAGAAGCUAACUCUCUCCGAAACAAUGAGUUAUACAACUUAUUUCUUAGCUUUUCAGCUUUGCGUGACU
rfam:Sus scrofa chromosome 5.